UACGGAGGGUGCGAGCGUUGUCCGGAAUCACUGGGCGUAAAGGGCGCGUAGGUGGCGCGGGCAGUCAACGGUGAAAGUUCGGGGCUCAACCCUGAAUCGGCCGUCGAUACUCCCGGGCUUGAGCACUGUAGAGGCAGAUGGAAUUCCGGGUGUAGCGGUGGAAUGCGUAGAGAUCGGAAGGAACACCAGUGGCGAAGGCGGCUACCUGGACAGAUACUGACACUGAGGCGCGAGAGCGUGGGGAGCAAACAGGG
rnacentral:rRNA from 1 species